CUUGAAAUAGGCAUUGAAAGCCAUGUAUCAGUGUUUGCAGAUGACACAAACCUUUAUAAAGUAAUAAAAUGUGAGGAGGAUAUUGCUUUGCUGCAGAAGGAUUUGGAUAGAUUGGGGGACUGGGCACUAAAAUGGCAGAUUAAAUUUAACGUAGAGAAAUGCAAAGUUAUGCACUUCGGGGUUAAGAAUGCACAAGCAACUUACACCCUAAAUGGUAGGGAAUUAGGGGUAACCACACACAAGACGGAUUUGGAAAUUGUUAUAGACAACAAAUUAGGCAGCAAUAUGCAAUGUCAAUCUGCAGUUGCUAAGGC